UACGAGGGGGGCAAGCGUUGUUCGGAAUUAUUGGGCGUAAAGGGCGCGUAGGCGGUGCGGUAAGUCACCUGUGAAAACUCUGGGCUCAACUCAGAGCCUGCAGGCGAAACUGCCGUGCUUGAGUGUGGGAGAGGUGCGUGGAAUUCCCGGUGUAGCGGUGAAAUGCAUAGAUAUUGUCAAGAACACCGAUUGCGAAGGCAGCUUACUAGACUGUAACUGACGCUGAGGCUCGAAAGUGCGGGGAUCAAACAGG
rnacentral:rRNA from 1 species